GGCCCCUUCGUCUAGCGGUCUAAGACACUGCGUUCUCAACGCAGGAAUCGCCGGUUCGAAUCCGGCAGGGGUCA
rnacentral:tRNA from 1 species